CUGCUAACGGUAGCUGUCGGAGCAGAGGGUAAAUCACUUUUUUAUACCACUAACAAGGCUCAAAAUAGCACCACACUUCAACGGUAGCAUAAUGAGGGUCCCUACAUGUAAACCAAAGCAUU